rfam:Triticum aestivum genome assembly, contig: Triticum_aestivum_CS42_TGACv1_scaffold_513364_6BS
AUAUUACUCCCUCCAUCCGAAAAAGUUUGUCCCUCAAAUGGAUGUAUCUAGCACCAAGUUAGCUAAAUACAUCCAUUUGAGGAAUUAGCUUGGGACAAGUUUUUUCGGACGGAGGGAGUAUAUU